rnacentral:tRNA from 1 species
CGAAGGGCCUAUAGCUCAGUUGGUUAGAGCACACGCCUGAUAAGCGUGAGGUCGGUGGUUCAAGUCCAUUUAG